rnacentral:rRNA from 1 species
UACGUAGGGUCCGAGCGUUGUCCGGAAUUAUUGGGCGUAAAGGGCUCGUAGGCGGUUUGUCGCGUCGGGAGUGAAAACUCAGGGCUCAACCCUGAGCGUGCUUCCGAUACGGGCAGACUAGAGGUAUGCAGGGGAGAACGGAAUUCCUGGUGUAGCGGUGGAAUGCGCAGAUAUCAGGAGGAACACCGGUGGCGAAGGCGGGUCUCUGGGCAGUAACUGACGCUGAGGAGCGAAAGCGUGGGUAGCGAACAGG